ensembl:lncRNA
GCAAGUUUCUGGUUGAAUUGUUCACAGCGCCAUGUUUCCAUAGACUUAACAUGUGGGGCCCUAAUUUGUGGCUGAGGAAAAUUUGGGUUAGCAAAUUUGGGGGUAAGAAAACUGACGGCUUAAGUGGAGAAGAGGUGCAAGAGUCUGACACACUGCCAAAAGCAACAUAUGCAAAUUCACAUACACAAGCAGAAAAUGCAUUAACCUUAUAAGGACAAGCUCAUAAUGAUUACUGCAUAGACAUUGAUUAUACUUGGUUAAGAACACAAACAUGCGCAAUAAAACACAGCUUGCUGUUUGUAUGAGUGAUAGAAUGGGGUGAAUGUUUAAUGAAAACAUUUGAGUAUGUUGAAUCUAGGCAUGUUAAAGUGCAUAAAGGGGGUGGAAUUAUGUGGUGACAAUACUUGUGUCUUUAGGGGGUUUGAGGUUGUAGUGGUGAUGGGCUGAUUUUGUCAGCUAGGGUGGAAUUGUUGUUUUUUUUUUGUUUUUAAUAGAGGGAGUUUUAGGAAACAUGGUCAUGUUUGAAAGGGGCCCAUUAUUUUUGUAACAGUGCACUUAGAAAAACCUGUCAGGUGAUUUUGUUUUGUGUUCUCAUGAGCUAAUAAUCAGCUCUCUUUUUCUCAUUUUUGUUUUAAGCAGGCCUGCAACAGUGAAUAACAGCACAAAUUCUCGGGAAGAGCAAAUAUAAGGUGGGCUUUCCAGAUUACAACUGGCUGAGGAGAAAGCUAUUCAAUCCAGUCCAAAACCUAAGGGACUAUUUUCCUAUGGAAAAUAAAAAUGAAGGAGCUCAGUUUGAAUAAAUCUGGACAAACAAUUUGCUUUUACUAGAGAAAGUUUCUGUUUUAUUGAGUGGGGUUAUAUUAUGGGGAUUAUAGUAUAUUGUUGGGAGAAUCCCAAAUGCUAAAGGGGGUAGGUGUCAAAAUAGAGGAAAUCUGCCAAAUGUUAAAGGGGAAAAUUAGUGAGGGUUGAAGAAGGAGAAUAGGUUUGAUUUCUUUUUGAUUUCUAGAAGUAGUGGCUAUAAUGUAGGCGUACACAUACAGUUAUUACAUAGAUUUAUUUUUGGGAUAAAGGGGAGAGCUUAGAAAUAGAGAUGAUUUCUUUUUAAUAUACAUAUUGCAUUUUGUGCCUUUAAAGGAGUUGUGGCUCAAUUCAUCUCUUGAGGGUCACGAGCCUUUGGCUAGCGCUAUGAUUGGCCAAUCUACUGUGAGGAGGAUAUGAGUCAUUGUAGGAUUGCACACGCUUACAGACACAGAGUCCAGAAACACACAUGAGAGCAUUGAUUCCAGGCAAAAGGCCUCAAAUUUGUUUAGCUUUUAACUGAACUUAAAGACGGACCAAAGAGGAAGGAAAGCAUAGAUUUUGGUUAAGUCUGAUAAACUAGAAUUAGAAUGUAUUGUUACAUUAAAAGGAGCCAAAUGAAAUAAAAAGAGUUAUAUCAAAACAGGUUAUAACAUAGGAAAUGUGAGGUUAAAGUGAAGUUAGUGUUAACACACAGGAGUUGUUUCUGGGUAACAUUUAGCUAUGAUGAAAUUUAGGCAGGAGUAAUUGCUUAUAUGCUUCGACUCAAUUGAUUAAAGUGGAAAUGGGGUUUUGUUCCCUUUGCAGUAGAUCUCGGGACCACAAGAGAGGGUCAGAGCGAGGACACAACCUAUGGCGCUAAAUAAUAAAACAUCAUCACCAUUGCAUUAAUAAUAUAAUUGACAGCACAGAUAUAAUUUAAUUCGGAGGUUUAAACAGGGUGUGUUUUUCAGAAAGACUAAGGUGCAUUCUUUUACUAAGCUCUUAGUAGGGGUUCUUGAUGAAAACAUUUAUUCAGCCUCUGGUCGGGUAAAAGGUCAGAAGGGCAACGGGUGAAUUGAUUGGGAGAGUAUUUGAGGACGACACACACACAUGCAAUGGAGUAAUGAAAGUCAGUAGGAUUAGCUCAUUAGGAUCAAACACAAUUUUAAGUAGGUAAUACUGUUACCAUCAUCAUGUCUGGUUUAUUGAGUGGGUUGAGAACUGACACAUAGACUACUUAAUUAGUAUUUUGGGGAACAUGAUAGCAGGGGUGAACAGAAUCCUGCAGCCAGAGUUUAAAUGAGUGAAAUUAAAUGAGUGAAACUGGCAGAUUUUUGUUUUGUUUUUUGUUUUGUUUUUGUUUUUUAAGUACGGGUGUUUUCUCACCUAUAAGAGAAAGAAUAUUCUGUGACAAGUCCUAAGACCGGGCUUCUGUAUUUUUAUUUUCUUUUGUUUUUCAGUUUUAUUUGUCAUUUUUCAUUUUAUUUUUAUUUUUUGAACAGUGCACUGAUUUUUGUUUGUGAAUUUCUUUUCUUUAAGCAGAUCUGCACGUCGGGAAUUAAAAGCGCUGUACGACACGUCGUCGAGGAAAUUGUUGCAAGUGAGUUUCUCCACAUUAAAAUGGGCUCAGGAGAAAGCCACUUAUCUGGGACAAUUAGAAAGUAAGUUCCUGUCCAAAAAGGAUUCAGCGAUGUAAUCCAAGCUAAAGUUCUUCGUUUUCUUUUUGAAAUGACGUCAUUUUGCUGAGUGUGGAAACUAAAUGCGACGACAGGUUUCACUAUCAGCAAAGAAAUGGAUGAAUGGAUGAAUGGAUGAAAGACUGGAAAUACAACAAACAAACGGACUGACUGGUAAAAGAUGACAAGACUUGACCACGACUCAAGGUUAACCACCUCCACCUAGAUAGGAUAAAAGGGUGGAUGAAUUUAUGUGUUUCUUUCUACAGGAGCAGAAAGAGGACAGCGACAUCUGAGGUUGCAUGACGAUUUAACUUUUAAAUGUUACUUUCUGUGUAUGUGAAAGUGUGUACACACCUGCGCAGCGUUAUCAACCACUUGUCAACUUAAAAAGAGAGUGUUGUUUGCCAAUAAUGUUUUCCUACUACAGGAUUUCUGGGCUUAUGUGUGAAGAAACGGUGUUUAUGGGUUAUGAUUUGGUAAGGCGAUUAAACGGCGGGAGACACAUCCUGUCUUGAAAACAGUGUGAUUCUUUUUACAGGAAAUCUUUUAUAGCAUCUCUGGUAGGUAGAUGGCUGACCGCGGUCAAUGUGCUGCUAAUGUUUGCUUUGCUGUUGUUAAGAAUGCGUGAGGAGGGUGCAGUAGAAAACAGACAAGUGACAUGAAAACAAAAGAUUAAUAGUAAAACAAGUAAUAAUAACAAAUAACAAAUUUGGGGACAGUUUGUCGUAGAGCUCACUAACUGGCCAUUAGGGGGCUCUGAGUGAUAAACAAGGGGAGUAACAUUGCCCAAAGUGUGAAUAAAACAGAUUGCGGCAAUAGUAGUGAUUUAAUGAUUGGAGAGAAUCUGAACACGAUACUUGUCUGUUGUGCUGAAUCUUUUAUUACUCUUAUGAUUUACAGGGGGUAAAUAAGCUGUCUGAUUUAACAGAUUUGCUUUUUAGGUGAACUGGGAGUUAAAGGAGGUUAACAGGUAGCUGCUGACUAAUGUUUUUACACAGGGUUACUGGUUGGCGGGAGAGUGUGUUAGAGAGGAUGUGUAAUGUUCUUGUGCAGUUUGCAGUAGGGAGAUUGCAAAUACAACUAGAACUAUUAACGGAGACUAAUUAAAACUAACCUGAAACUGAGGAGGUUCUAUAUAAGGAAGAAUUAAAACAGAUAUAAAAUGCAUCCGAUCUUUAAUUGCAGGUGUGACCAUGAAGAUUUUUGGUACAUAUUGCAGGUUGUUGCUCAUUAUAGAAUUGUGCUCAGCUUCAUAAGGCAAAAAGCUAUAGCAGGGGUCUAUGAUUUCGUUUGUGUUUUAAUGAUUUAGGUAUGGCAAAAUUAAAGGUUUUUGGACAAUUUAGGGAACCAGUGAGAAGCAUGAUUAGAUGAUCAGAAACUGAGUACUAGACUUAAACUUAAGUUAGAAUUAAAAAUGCCCAAUUGGUUGGAGGUCUGUUGGUCACUUUUAUACACACAUAGGCAUGGCAUAGGAUUGGAAUAAACAAAGUCAACAACAUUAGGUUAGGAGAGCCAGCGAGGGAGAUGUGUUGGUUUUCUGUCUCUUGCAGAGAAAGGAACAGACACCAGAUGAGGUCACAGAUAGGCGAGGAUCCUUCGCAGCAGAGAUAGACACAGUGACUGCCGAGACAUCAACUGGGUCCAAGGGUCAUGGCGUUUGGGCUCCAGGUAGUCACCUCAAAAGGAUGGAUCCCAUAAACACAGCAGUAACCAUGAAGGGGUUGGCGGAAAUCCAGGAACACCAGACCAACGAGGUUCGAGAGGCUCUGGGGCUAAAGGGGGACACAUUCCGGUUUCUUUUCCUGGAGGUUCGAGGACCUGAGGAUACACAGAUCGUUGUUCGAAAUCGGGGCAGAAUAAUCCCCUGAUCUGUGCCACGACUGAAGGGUUGUCUAACCCCUGAGGUUGAAGAAUGAAGAGGAGCGUCGCGCCAAGCAGCAUUUGAUUAAUUCAUUCCAGGCUCCUAAUAGGCUAGGGCUCUAGACUGAAGUAAUUGAUAGUUUAAAGGAAUCGUAAUCGUUUUGUAUGUUAACCACAUAUUUUUAUACUCAGAAGUUUAUACUCUCAUUCUUAUAACCUCAUAUUUUUAUCACGAAGUUUAAAGUAAAAGUAAAAGAGCCUGGGAACAGGGAUCAUGAAACUGUGGGGAAAAUUAGAAACUAACGAGGAUGUUGGGGUUGAUAAGUGCUGUAACGUGUUGGUUGAAGUUGUGCUGGCAAAGCCAGCACAAAAAGGGGGAGUUAUUGAGGAAAACAUCUUAUUUUACUGUCACUGUAUAUCAUUCAUAAAGCACCGUCAUUAUUUCAUUAUUACUUCAUUAGUCCGCAUCAGCUUAUCAUCAAUAUUAUCAUGUAUCACAAUACUCUAUCAGUUAGUAGAGCACCAGUUUAGCUGGGGGUCCAGUCAGCCCGCAGUAAAGUCAUAUGAGGACACGGUGAACUUUUGUUGGCCGGAAACGGACACUCUCACACAACUACACAUUCUACACACUAUUGGUUAUGUUCCCAGAAUACAGAGGAGUGGAAACAUCUGGAACAUGUUGUUGUUCUUAGCCAUACAAGGACAUAGAAGGGUGAACUGACUGAUACUUAUCAGGUGACUUGACGUCAUCAUUGCAAUAAAAACCUUGUGUUAGGGUUGUUCUUGGGAGAUUUGCUCGUGAAGACUUGUGACGCUCAUCUUCCCCAUAUGUACAUAUGUAUAAUAAAAUCACUAUUCUGACAUCUACUGAGAGACCAUGCAGUCGUUUGUCUCUUCCUCAAAUUCGAACCUUGACACCAACC